rnacentral:rRNA from 1 species
GAUGAACGCUGGCGGCGUGCUUAACACAUGCAAGUCGAACGGACUUAUCAUGAAGCCUAGCGAUUGAUAAGUUAGUGGCGGACGGGUGAGUAACGCGUGGGUAACCUGCCUCACACUGGGGGAUAACAGUUAGAAAUAGCUGCUAAUACCGCAUAAGCGCACGGUGUCGCAUGACACAGUGUGAAAAACUCCGGUGGUGUGAGAUGGACCCGCGUCUGAUUAGCUAGUUGGUGAGGUAACGGCCCACCAAGUCGACGAUCAGUAGCCGGACUGAGAGGUUGAACGGCCACAUUGGGACUGAGACACGGCCCAGACUCCUACGGGAGCAGCAGUGAGGGAUAUUGCACAAUGGGCGCAAGCCUGAUGCAGCAACGCCGCGUGAGGGAUGACGGUUUUCGGAUUGGUAAACCUCUGUCUUUGGUGAUGAUAAUGACAUUAGCCAAGGAGGAAGCCACGGCUAACUACGUGCCAGC